GACGAACUGUGCGAACGGUAUUCGGAAUCACUGGGCUUACAGGGUGCGUAGGCGGCCACGUAAGUAGGGUGUGAAAUCCCCCGGCCCAACCGGGGAACUGCGCUCUAAACUACAUGGCUUGAGUGAGCUAGGGGUCCACGGAACUUCCAGUGGAGCGGUGAAAUGUGUUGAUAUUGGAAGGAACACCGGAGCCGAAAGGGGUGGACUGGGGCUCAACUGACGCUGAGGCACGAAAGCCAGGGUAGCGAACGGG
rnacentral:rRNA from 1 species